UAGUGCAUUCAUACAGGGCACCUAAAUAAAACCCAUUCUUACUUUUUCGGUCACCCUGUGCAAACUGGAUCUCGAUCUGUCGACCACACACCCACUUGUGGUCCAGGUUGUGGAGGGCAUCCUCUGCAUCUCGCACGUCCUCGAAUGUGCUACAGACUUAAGGCUUUUUACUUUCACUUGUGGAAAUGGGGAGACAUGUCUUUAACAUGCUUGACCUUUGAGCUUCAGCUUGACCUUUAUGCUCUUUAACUGCUUGGCAGAAGAACUUGAGAUUUCCGGCUUGUCUUCGCCCAAUACAUCCUUUUAUUUUCCUUUCUUUGGUAGACAAACGGCUGCCUUCGUGCCCUCUUUUCGCCUCCUUGUAUCUUCGUGCUUUAACUUUGCUCUUUGUGUUCUUCUCCCACUAUUUCCUGUUGCCUGAAAUCAUUAUGGUCCCUUUGGCUUGAAACUACACUACACCAGUCUUUACAUUCUUUGUUGGGGUUUCUCCAGAACUGUACGUCUAACAUUUCUAGGGUAACAGAAGCAAUUUUAGUUAGAAGAGGAGAUGUUGAUUCAUGUCUGUACACAUUUUACUGUGUUUAACAACAUUCAAUGUUCCCCUCCCAUAAACCAGUAUAGCCUACUUUUAUGACAAAUAUACGAUACUUCAAAACAGUAGGCAAACUCAAGACGUGUGACAUUGUCAAUAUGACCCCACGUGUGAAUAAUAAUAAUGCACCGAAUGAAAGACAUGUUCAUUAAUACAUUACAUGAGUAUAAAGGAUAUUGAAUGUAAGCAAAUCCUCUUGGUCGCCGUGUAGAGAAGUCAAGUGGAAUGUAGACAUCUACAAUAGGCCCAUAACGACCAAAUUCACGGCGUAGUUCCUCUGGCCUAAAGUGUUAUGAAAUGACAGGACAUUUCAUCUAAUGGCCAGCGAAGUUCAACCCUUUUGGGCUAACAUUAAACCAGUGUGAUUCAAAGUUCAAACCUGCAACUGUGGCCAAUAACCUUCAGAUUCAACUAAAUUGGCUUAAUACUUACCAUUGAAAUAGGGGUAUAAAAUGUGACAUUGGACAAGAGGUAUUUCAUGCAUUACAAGCUAGGUAGAUGGUAGCCUGAGUGCCAGUCUGUUUGUGCCAUCAUGCCAACUCCUGUCACUUAUUGUCAUGUUUGGCAUGCAUGCCAAUUAAGCCCAGGUACUGGUUCAGCCAGUUCCAUGAUAUGGAGUUGGAAAAAGAGCAUAAACAGUCAACCAGUGGUGUAAAGUACUUAAGUAAAAAUAAUUUAAAGCACUACUUAAGUACUUUUUGGAGGCAUCUGUACUUUCAUUUCAUAUUUUUGACAACUUUCACUUCACUACAUUCCUGAAGAAAAUAAUGUACUUUUUACUCCAUACAUUUCCCUGGCACCCAAAAGUACUCAUUACAUUUGGAAUGCAUAGCAGGACAGGAAAAUGGUAUAAUUCGCGGACCUAAAGAGAAAAUCCCUGGUCAUCCCUACUGCAUCUGAUCUGGUGGACUCACUAAACAGAAAUGCUUUGUUUGUAAAUUAUGCUUGAGAGUUGGAGUGUGCCCCUUGCUAUCAGUAAAUACAAUUUAAAAAACAAGAACAUCGUGCCGUCUGGUUUUCUUAAUAUCAAUAAUUUUUUACUUUUGAUACUUAAGUAUAUUUAAAACCAAAAUAUUUUUUCUCAAGUAGGAUUAUACUGGGUGACUUUUACUUGAGCCAUUUUCUAUUAAGGUAUCGUUACUUUUACUCAAGUAUGACAAUUGGGUACUUUUCCCACCACUGCUGGCAACCUGGCAGGUAGAAAGAUACCCAGCUAAGUUAAUUUAUUCACAGUUGGUUCAAACAACUCCUGUUUUUGUGCAAACCAUUCCAUUUGGUGCAAACUCAUGUGCAGCCUAGCAGACAUGCUAACGUUAGCUUUGAUACAAAGCUUAGCGAGCUAACGUUUUCUGAUAACUAGCUUAGCUAUCCAACUAACGUUAACAUUUCCCAUCAUACAAACUAAAAAGCAACUGGCAACACUUAGCUACAAGUUUUCAUUGUAAAUGCUAGCUAGCUAAAAUCAGUAAACACAGUUUAGCCACCUAGUUAACGUUGCUCGUUAGCUAGUGCUAGCUAGCUACUGUACUACCUCGCACGCCCGAAUGAUUCAAAUCAUAGCUACCUGGAUUCGUCGGAGAUGUUUCUAAUGAAGAGUGAUGGGUUAGGGGGCCUCAUGUACCUAGCCAUUGUAAAAUAUUGUUGUUACGGUUGAAAUUGCUGAUAUAAUUUAAUAUCAGUAAAUUAUACGACUUGUUCUAGCUGUAGCAAAAAAGCAGCGAGGUGGUCUCGUCUAUCGGCGAACAGAGGCCAGCGCGCAGGCUCAGAUACCAUUGUUUUAGCCCUGCCCACCAGGGGUGGCCUGGCCAUCUGGCAUUUUGGGCAAGGGCUGUUUAGAUGUUAAAUGAUGAGUAACCACGGUCGGCCCGCUAAUUAGGCACGAUUAGGGGGCCAUUGAGGAGGGCAGCAUUUUCUGAGCUAAACUGACCAAGACGCACCUCCAACAACAACACAUAAAACCUCACAUAACCUCGUAAAUUCAAUCUGGAG
rnacentral:lncRNA from 1 species